rnacentral:lncRNA from 1 species
UUUUGAGACUCAUAAAUGUUUAUGUUUUGCUGUUUUCAUUUCUUGUCCCAGGAUAACAUGAAAAAAAGAGAAAAAAAGAAAAAGAAUAAAAGUGGAGGCUUCUAGCAAGUAGAUUCUUCUCAAAUGUUCUUCCAACAUUUUGAGAUGGACAUAUCCCAAAUGUUGAUGAUUAUGAGGAUAUUAGCACACCAUUCACUUAAAACAAAUAGUCUAUCCUUGUAUGAAGAGAGAGAGAUCACAAGUAGCAGAAAGGCAGUCAGAGAGAGAGGAGGAAGCAGGCUCCCUGCUGAGCAGAGAGCUGGAUGUGGGGCUCGAUCCCAAGACCCUGGGACCAUGACCUGAGCCGAAGGCAGAGGCUUUAACCC